AUUGAACGCUGGCGGCAUGCUUUACACAUGCAAGUCGAACGGCAGCGCGGGGCAACCUGGCGGCGAGUGGCGAACGGGUGAGUAAUAUAUCGGAACGUACCCAAGAGUGGGGGAUAACGUAGCGAAAGUUACGCUAAUACCGCAUACGAUCUAAGGAUGAAAGUGGGGGAUCGCAAGACCUCAUGCUCCUGGAGCGGCCGAUAUCUGAUUAGCUAGUUGGUGAGGUAAAGGCUCACCAAGGCGACGAUCAGUAGCUGGUCUGAGAGGACAACCAGCCACACUGGAACUGAGCCACGGUCCAGACUCCUACGGGAGGCAGCAGUGGGGAAUUUUGGACAAUGGGCGCAAGCCUGAUCCAGCAAUGCCGCGUGAGUGAAGAAGGCCUUCGGGUUGUAAAGCUCUUUUGUCAGGGAAGAAACGGUAGAGGCUAAUAUCCUUUGCUAAUGACGGUACCUGAAGAAUAAGCACCGGCUAACUACGUG
rnacentral:rRNA from 1 species